UACGUAGGGUGCAAGCGUUAAUCGGAAUUACUGGGCGUAAAGCGCGCGCAGGCGGCUUUGCAAGACAGAUGUGAAAUCCCCGGGCUCAACCUGGGAACUGCAUUUGUGACUGCAUGGCUGGAGUGCGGCAGAGGGGGAUGGAAUUCCGCGUGUAGCAGUGAAAUGCGUAGAUAUGCGGAGGAACACCGAUGGCGAAGGCAAUCCCCUGGGCCUGCACUGACGCUCAUGCACGAAAGCGUGGGGAGCAAACAGG
rnacentral:rRNA from 1 species